rnacentral:rRNA from 1 species
CGCGUAGGCGGCUUUAUAAGUCGGGGGUGAAAGCCUGUGGCUCAACCACAGAAUUGCCUUCGAUACUGUAGAGCUUGAGACCGGAAGAGGUAAGUGGAACUGCGAGUGUAGAGGUGAAAUUCGUAGAUAUUCGCAAGAACACCAGUGGCGAAGGCGGCUUACUGGUCCGGUUCUGACGCUGAGGCGCGAAAGCGUGGGAGCAGACA